rnacentral:rRNA from 1 species
UACGGAGGGUGCAAGCGUGUCCGGAUUUAUUGGGUUUAAAGGGUGCGUAGGCGGCCCUGUAAGUCAGUGGUGAAAAUACUGCAGCUUAACUGUAGCAUUGCCAUUGAUACUGCAGGGCUUGAGUACAGAUGAGGUAGGCGGAAUUGAUGGUGUAGCGGUGAAAUGCAUAGAUACCAUAAGAACACCGAUUGCGAAGGCAGCUUACUAAGCUGUAACUGACGCUGGAGGCACGAAAGCGUGGGGAUCGAACAGG